rnacentral:rRNA from 1 species
GACAACUCUAAAGUACCUUACGUACUCUUGACAUCCAGAGAAGUUUACAGAGAUGGAUUGAUGCCUUCGGGAACUCUGGCACAGGUGCUGCAUGGCUGUCGUCAGCUCGUGUUGUGAAAUGUUGGGUUAAGUCCCGCAACGAGCGCAACCCUUAUCCUUUGUUGCCAGCGGUUAGGCCGGGAACUCAAAGGAGACUGCCAGUGAUAAACUGGAGGAAGGUGGGGAUGACGUCAAGUCAUCAUGGCCCUUACGAGUAGGGCUACACACGUGCUACAAUGGCGCAUACAAAGAGAAGCGACCUCGCGAGAGCAAGCGGACCUCAAAAAGUGCGUCGUAGUCCGGAUUGGAGUCUGCAACUCGACUCCAUGAAGUCGGAAUCGCUAGUAAUCGUAGAUCAGAAUUCUACGGUGAAUACGUUCCCGGGCCUGUACCCCCCACCAGUCACACCAUGGGAGUGGUUUGCAAAAGAAGUAGGUAUCUUAACGCUCGGAGUGCGCUACCACUUUCGUUACAGGGA